CUCUAUCACAUGUAGAUGCACCUGUGCUCAAUGCUCCACCUCCCUGUGAUUUGGUGACCUUGCAAUAGGCAGAUCCAAUAAACAUACAUCAGCUCUCCAAUCUGCACCGACUGAACCUCCAACUGAUCCUCCAUGGCUGAGGCAAUCACCUUGACCUCUUUUUAGACACAACAGAUCUUACCAUAUGGUACAGAUGACUCCUCAAUCUUCUCUAUCUCAUCACAAUCCUAUCACCCUUGGAGACAUUCAGCACCCCUGAAUCACUUCUAAAAAUAAAGUCCUUUUCCUUCAAGUAUCUAAGUGAUACUAUACUCCUCCUGAGAAUACAUCCUCAGUCUGAUAGAACCCAUUCCUGCUACCCCACAAAAGCUUCCAUCUCCUAGUAUCAC
rnacentral:lncRNA from 1 species